UGAUCCGGUUACCCUGAAAUUACAAAAAAACCCCUUAUAUAUAUAUAGUUGUAAACCCUAAGUCCUUAACCCAUCCGCUUCUCAUAAUCUGAUCUCAUUUCACGCCUCAGCCUCACACCCUAACCCUUAAUCUCUUUGUCACUCAUGCAGCCACGCACAAGAGCACGCAGCCACGCAUAAGAGCACGGUUGGGUAAGGAUCAGUGGGUUUCGUCUCUCACCAUUUGGGUCAUUGGAUUAGUUUCUCAGUUCUCACCGUUUGAGAAUUGGUUAUGGAGUGAAAUCAACGGUUCUUCAACUAUGUCUGGAGAUUGUACACUUCAAUCAAUUCUUGAUGAUGGGGAAGCCUAAUGAAGAGGAUGGGAGUUGUGUAACAAUUGUGAAGGAUUAGACAUUUUGAAUUAAUUUAGUAGCCUUUUUAAAUUCUUAGAUUUGUUGGAUUAAUUUGUUGGUUUGUGAUUAUUCUAAGCCUUUUUAGCCUUUUGUAAUUUCUUAGCCUUUUUAAUUUGUUGGUUUG